CUGAUACGGUGGCUUAUAACCUUUUGAUUUAUGGUUGCUGCAUCGCUGGAGAAAUGUCGAAAGCUUUUGAAUUGCGUGAUGAGAUGAUAAGAAGUGGUCUGAAGGUGUCUCAUGCCACAUUUGCUUCUUUAGUCAAUGGAACCUGAAAAAUGAGCUCCCCACAUCUGCUAGAAUCAGUUACUACAAUUCAGUAUUGACUAUCAAAAUUCUGGAUACUUUAUACAGGACGUGAUCAUGUCAACCAUAAUUCUUUACACUAAAAUGCCGUAUCCAUGAAUGGUUCAAGGCCCCACCUUUUUAUCUGAUGACCAUGAACUAUGAGUUGGGCAUCUUGAGAACUUCGAGGGAGACCCAUGUACCAAAGAUGGUACAACUGUCAUAAGUCAGAAGAGGUAUAUGUCAUAGGACUCCUGCAGCAACUGUUUCUGGUCUAUGAAGUUUCUCACUUCGUUUUGCACUGGGCAGUCAAGCAUGUUCUUUGAUAGGUACUUCUUUUGAUCAGAUUGUCUGAUAAAAGCAUUAGAUUUGGGCAAAACGAUGGGAACUAUUAGCUAAAGUUUUAACCUGAAAAUUGUUAGGGGGUUUACGUUUCAAGUGUAUAAUCGGAGCUUCUACAGUAGCAGUAUUUCACAUUCUGCUAUGAAAGCUCCAAGUAGCAUUGCUACCAUAGAUCGCACAUUAGUUCUUCCUUUAUUGCUUGCAAUUUAGGUAGACUAUAAUGGAAUGUAUUUCAUUCCAACACAUUUUGUCCAAGACAAAAGAAUAUUAAGCUCAUUUCUUUGGUGUUGAUGUUCUUUGUUUUACCUGCAUCUUUGUCUGCUUAGUACUUAACCAAUUAUCCUUUUGCUGUUUUAUUAGAGGGAGCUGUCUAUUUAUUGUGUCAGUUGCAUGCCCAGCCACCUUUUCGCAUUAGGUUCUAUUGCUUCUUUCCUACUGAAAUUGCUGUAGCGCAAGGUACUGUAUGGGAAAGCUAUAUUCUCAACGAUGGCAAUACACGGCAUGUUGACUCGAUGGGUCCAAGUCAAUUGAUGAAGCUCCUCCAUUUUUAUAUUUCUUCUAUUAACAUCACAACCAACAUUCUUAUUGGCAUGUCAGGGUAAUUUCAUAAAACAUUAAGAAAAAGAAGCUAAAACUAAAAGAACAUAAACAGUUUAUCCAUUGUAAUCACAAAGGACAAAUAGUAUGUCAGCUCAAUCUAAGAUAUUUCCAGUAAGCCUCAAGACCUGGAAAAGUUACUCAAGGCGCCAGCACCAAAAU